UAUUUCUUCGGGUAUUGGUUUAGCCACUCCGGCGCCUGAUACCCCAACGGCGCCCACGGUAUACGGGACGCCUACCCUGCACACGCAAACCCCCGGUCGGCUCCCCGACCGGGGG
rnacentral:sRNA from 21 species